UGCUCGGGAUCCAUCUUGCAUGUCUUGUUCACUGGCCUUCGCCUCCUCUCUGCUCAGGGGUCUCGGGAGCCAGGGGAGAUGCUGCCACGAAAGCUGAAACA